AAAUUGAAGAGUUUGAUCAUGGCUCAGAUUGAACGCUGGCGGCAGGCCUAACACAUGCAAGUCGAACGGUAACAGAAAGCAGCUUGCUGCUUUGCUGACGAGUGGCGGACGGGUGAGUAAUGUCUGGGAAACUGCCUGAUGGAGGGGGAUAACUACUGGAAACGGUAGCUAAUACCGCAUAACGUCGCAAGACCAAAGAGGGGGACCUUCGGGCCUCUUGCCAUCGGAUGUGCCCAGAUGGGAUUAGCUUGUUGGUGGGGUAACGGCUCACCAAGGCGACGAUCCCUAGCUGGUCUGAGAGGAUGACCAGCCACACUGGAACUGAGACACGGUCCAGACUCCUACGGGAGGCAGCAGUGGGGAAUAUUGCACAAUGGGCGCAAGC
rnacentral:rRNA from 1 species